rnacentral:rRNA from 1 species
GAUGAACGCUGGCGGCGUGCCUAAUACAUGCAAGUCGAGCGGUAAGGCCACUUCGGUGGUACACGAGCGGCGGACGGCUGAGUAACACGUAGGAACGUACCCCAAACUGAGGGAUAACUGCUCGAAAGAGUAGCUAAUACCGCAUGUGCUCUAAGGAGUAAAGCUACGGCGGUUUGGGAACGGCCUGCGCAUGAUUAGCUUGUUGGUGAGGUAAUGGCUCACCAAGGCGACGAUCAUUAGCUGGUCUGAGAGGAUGAUCAGCCAGACUGGGACUGAGACACGGCCCAGACUCCUACGGGAGGCAGCAGUAGGGAAUUUUCCACAAUGGGGGCAACCCUGAUGGAGCAACGCCGCGUGCAGGAUGAAGGCCCUUGGGUCGUAAACUGCUUUUAUCUGUGAAGAUUAUGACGGUAGCAGAUGAAUAAGGAUCGGCUAACUCCGUGCCAGCCGCCGCGGUAA